rnacentral:lncRNA from 1 species
AUGAAGCCUCUAUUCGGUGAGAGGAAAUGGACUGUAGUUCCAUAUGGCUCCCCCGGCUGUCAGCUUCUGCUUACCUGUGUGAAUAGAAGGGAACAGAGUGCUGGGCCACGAGCUGAAGAUACCUUUCCUGGCCCUCAGCUGUGCCAGCCGAAGUGGACGGACACGCUAGGAAACUGUGGGGAUCAACUUCCUUCUACUCAGCUUUAUACUCAGCUUCACUGAGUAUGAAUGAGACAAGCGUUUGGGGAUUUUUUUUUUCUGUAUUAAAAAAGAAAACCAGAGACAAUUAUAACCCAAUGCCUUGGUUGUAUAUUUAAAUUUAUUUCCCUUUUGACCAUUUAGUGCUGUUUAUAGAAGGUGCUUAAAACACUGAUUUACCCAUCAUUUUUCCAGCACACGGUGAGUUGCCCAGUCUUUUUUUUUUCUUUUUUUUAAUUCUUCUUCUUAAAGCAGUUCUGGUUAUAGAGAUUCCAGCAACUCCAGUAAGUAUGCCAAGAAUGUACAGUUAUACUUUAUACUGCUAAAUUAACAGACAGGAAUAGUCACACCAAACCAGAUUCAGCUCCCAGAUGGGAAAGUGUCUCCUCUAGUCCAAAUUUUAAUGACUUUUUUAUGUGAGAAAGUUUCACCAAUAUAACAUACAGUGUGAUUUAAAACAAAUGCUGUCAUCUUUUUUAUGUUGGUGACAGGUAACUUGCAGGAAAUAUUGAUGUUUUUCUUGUUUUCAAUGACCAACUGGGCAUUGGAAAUAUCUGGACUUUUAGAUAGGUUAACUCUUCUCUUAAUAUUUUAAAUUAUUUACUUAGAAAUUACUUAGAAAAGUAGAAAUGAUAAACUAAAAAUGAACUUCUCUUAAUAUUUUGAAUAAUUUAAAAUCAUUUCUACUUUUCUAAGUACUGGUUUGAAGUGAAGAACAGGGUCUGAUUCUUAUUUGAUUUGCUAUAUAUUUAUAUGAAUGUAAUCCUAUUAGCUUUGUGGAUUUAGUUCUAAUUUACAUUCAUGUAAGUGACAGGGGAAUUGAGUCCUAGAUAACAUAACAACAAUAUCAGAAAAACUAGAUUUGAUUGUUGCAGUAUGUGGUGCUGAUGGUAUGAGAUAUUUUCACACACACAUUUCUGUCUCUGAAUCAGGAAAAGUCUGUGCAUGAGUUUAUGAAAUCUGUGGUCUUUGACAAUUUGUCUGCGCCAACUGGAAUAUUGCAGAAGAUUUCCCCCCUGCAAAUUCUAACAUUGACUUAUGUCUUAUGAUGACUAAGUCUUAUGAUUUAAUGAAAAGAAGGGAAGGCACCUUUCAUUUUUACAAACAUAUGAAGAUAUACUGAAGUCCAUUUGCCUGACUUUUCCUUGGAACCAUUUCUAGGUUGAAACCUAGUGAUUUCAUGAGUGCUAGAAGAAAAAAUUAAAAGGAGUGUAUAGUCAUGUUCAGAUGAGAAAUACAGAAUUUUGUGUGAUUGUACUAGACAUUGUAAAUACCAUGUCUCAAUCAUUAUAGGUGCUCAGAUACUAGAAAGAUACUUUAGAUCGGAUUACUUUGUGCUGCGCUUCAUUUCACAGUUUUUUUUUAGUUUUCAGUGUUCUGUACUAUUCUAUUCCUGUUUAUAAAUCUUUUAAGUGUGCACAUUAAAAAAGUAAUUAAAUUGUCAUUAUAAUUUAUAGUAUGUCUGAAGUCAAUCACCUAAUUAAACGGAAAGAGCAGAGAGGUAGUAGGUUCAUAAGCAUUUAUUAAGUACUACAGUAUUAAUUAUGCAGGGCUUUUGAACCAAGCAGAAGAGGAAAGAAUGGAAACACCAAUCUAAAAAGGCUUUCCAUUGCUGCCCUUCUCAAUUUAAUAAUAUGAGACACCCCCCCUAGUUAGUAAUACAACACUAAUGCUUUCUUUUUGUUAAUUUUUAAUGAAAUUAAGAUGGAUUUUUUUUAAUGACGAUCACUUGCAGCAUUUUCCUGUAAUAUUUUUAAAAGAAUAAUAUGUCCCUGUGCAGGGGCCUAUAAAUAUGUGAGUAGAAUUGGAAGAUACAUUUAGAUUUAUGAUUUGGGGUGGAUUGUAAAGGAGCAGACUGCCUUGGUCGUGAUUUCUCGGCGUGCCAGGAACGGGGUGGAACGCGUGCCUGACUCACAUUGCUGCCCUGGAAAAAGUGCUUGGGGACAGUGAAGAGGGGGCUGAGCAGAGGCAGGGGCAGCCAAAAAGAGGAGGCUCUGGGAGGCAGGGGAAAAGGAGGGCACCUGGGAGCUUGGAGGUGAUGCGUAGGGGCACUGUGGUUACAAAGAUGUUUGCUCCCUCUUUGCAUCCUUACUUGCACCUCCAGUUAAACCAGUGUCAUACAGUAAAAAUCAGUGGGUACAAGGGUCUGAUUCUUACAAGCUGGAUGGGUGCAAGCUUCUGACUUGCACCAAAAAUGAGGUCAAGAGGAGGUUUUACAGGACGUUGAGUUGUAUGUUGUAACAUAAGAGAUGAAAGUAUGUUAUAUUAAUGAGCUUGCGAAACAGGGCAAUCUUAUCGUGGUUUGUUUGUAUUUUGCUGUAUCUGAUGAAGAGGAUGGAGCAGAAGCCUUAAAUUUAGAAUUUCUUCUUUUACUGGUUUGUUAAAAAAAAACUAGAAACUUAUAACGCAUCGAAAGCAAAAUCUUUUCAGAGUGCAUAUUUGCUUUCUAUGCUGUUCCUGUGGAUUUCUUUUUCUCCUUGGUGGUCUUCACGUGUGGAUCUUAGAUGUGAAAACUUCUCUCUUGUGUAGCAGGGGGUGACCCCGCAGCUCUGGGCUGAGCCGAAGCAGCCCGCUGGCUUUGCGGGGAGAGAGCGCGAGCGAGCAUCUGGGCUGCUCCUGGGAGCACUGCAGAGAGCCCAGCAUCACCCGCGAUCCCUCAACCUGCACUGAGCAGGACACUGCUGGUAGUUGGCUAUUCAGAUGUGGCCAGUACACAAACAACUGUAAUAAACCAGGAUGAAGACCAGUUAGGUUUUAAACC